UUAAUACCAAUAAUAACUCUAUUCAGACUCGACAAACCUGUGCGCAUAGACUGACAAUCUGACAUAGUUUUAACCAUCUCUCUUCUCUCUUCGUAGAACUAAGCAUAUACCUCUUAUUCUUUAUCUUUCUCUAUUCUUCUUGUUUGGUCGAAGAAAGUCCUAUUUUUUCUAAAUCAAGAACUAUUUUUUCUUGACAAAAAAUCUCACACAAGGCUCAAAAUCAUAAUUCUUUCAAUCGGCCCUGAAACUUUCUCCAUUUUUUUGGUAAUAAUCCAAUCUCUCUCUUGUUUUUGAUUUUUUUGUUGUUGAUCCCUCUUUUAGAAAUCGGGAGAAUCUCUGCAAUAAUCUCGUGUUGCAGCACAAUCCGCCCAGUUGAUCUUGAUCUCGUGUGCACUGGUAAGUCAAACAUAGAAAAACAGAUCUUGGUGGUACAUAGAAAAACAGAUCUUGGUGGUACAGCACUGGUUGGCUUACAAAAUUAAUAAUUGACUGUGCUUGUGCGGAGAAGAUGAACGGAAGUUGCGUCUUUCUAGCAGCUCAGUCUCUGUGUCUCUUUGUAACGCGUGUGAGAUCAGAAACAUGAAGAUAUGAGGAUGAGAAGAUCAGAAGCACUUGAAGAAAUCAAAUCAUGGGGGACGGCGAUGGCCCCUGGCGACUCUUAUAAUUUUUGUGGAUUAGCCACCGUCUACAAAGAUGAGAUCUAGAAACCACUAAGCAUACACUGAUAAUCGGAUACAUAAUAGAUAGACAAUCAAGAUUGAAACGGUAAUAACCGGAAAAUGAUUUUAUAUAUGUAAUAUGAAUGUGUAUUAUAACCGUAUUAAAAAUUCCAAGUUGAUUUAUUA